rnacentral:lncRNA from 1 species
ACUGGUAACAUCAGCAUUCAGGAGAUGGAGGCAGAAAGCUCGGGAGUCUGAGGCCAGCCUGGGCUACAAGAUACCCGCCAUCCCUCUCAGUCAUGGAGAGACCCUAGUGGGCCCAGGAUCUCUCUCCUCUCUCCUGGACCUGCUGGCAAGGAACUGGUGACUACUUCUCUUCCAUCUCAAUGGGCUUCAGAGGCCACCUCAGCACACCUAAGGGUCAGUUUGGAUCUAGUUUUGACUGGAUCUGUCCUCUGGGGAUAUUGUGUUGGAGGUGCAGCCACACUCAGUGCAGCCACGCUUGGAGGUGGUGCUACGGAAAGGUGGUGGCUAGGUCGACAGGAAGAGUCUUUGUGAAGGAUUAUGUAUACUUUGGGGAUGUCUGUGGGCAACUGCCUUAAGUUAAAUGAUAGGGGAAGACACAGCCUACUGUGGGUGGUAUCAUUCCCUAAGCAGGGCAUCCUGAACUGUGAGGAGUUGAAUCAUUGAGAUGAACACCAGCAUGCGUGCACGAAUUUCUCUCCACUUAGGACUCUCCACAGUGAUGGACAGUAGCCAGGAAUUCUAAGCUAAAUCCUCUCUCUCUCUCUCCUAAGCCGCUCUUCCUCAUGGUGUUUUAGUCACAGAAGUAGAACUAGAUAGCACUGACUUUGCUAGUGGAUUAAGCCACUGAGUUCAUGCUGAAUAGAGGUGGUGAGAGCUGACAGCAAAAGCAGUUCUUGACAUUUCUUCUCUGACUCCCAGCUACCAUGAGGUAAGCAGCCUCCACAGCUACCUGCUCCUACCAGCUGCCUUCUGUCACAGGUCAAUGCCAUAAUACAAACCAUGGGUGGAGCCCUCUGAAACCAUGAGUGAAAAGGCAAGGUUUCCCUUUCUGUUG